CGGCGUGGAUUAGGCAUGCAAGUCGAACGAGGAAGUGCCCCGUAAGGGGCGCAAGCCUAGUGGCGAAAGGGUGAGUAAUGCAUUGAUAACCUGCCUUUGAGAUGGGAAUAACUGCGUUUCGAGCAAUCGGAACUACCGAAAGGGCUGCUAAUACCCAAUAAUACUAUAGGUGCAAAAGCACUUGUGGUCAAAUGCUAGGAAUUCUGUUCCUUGUGCUUAAAGAGGGGUUAAUGUCCUAUCAGCUAGUUGGUGGGGUAAUGGCCUACCAAGGCAAAGACGGGUAGCCGGCUUGAGAGGGUGGUCGGCCACACUGGGACUGAGACACUGCCCAGACUCCUACGGGAGGCUGCAGUCGAGAAUCUUUCGCAAUGCCCGAAAGGGUGACGAAGCGACGCCGCGUGUGGGAAGAAGGCCUUCGGGUUGUAAACCACUGUCGGGAGUUAGGAAAUGCAGGUGCGUUAAUAGCGCACUUGCUUGACUGAGGCUCCAGAGGAAGCCACGGCUAACUCUGUGCCAGCAGCCGCGGUAAU
rnacentral:rRNA from 1 species